rnacentral:rRNA from 1 species
AUGAACGCUGGCGGCGUGCCUAAUACAUGCAAGUCGAGCGAACAGAUGAGGAGCUUGCUCCUCUGACGUUAGCGGCGGACGGGUGAGUAACACGUGGAUAACCUACCUAUAAGUCUGGGAUAGCUUCGGGAAACCGGAGCUAAUACCGGAUAAUAUAUUGAACCGCAUGGUUCAAUAGUGAAAGACGGUUUUGCUGUCACUUAUAGAUGGAUCCGCGCCGCAUUAGCUAGUUGGUAAGGUAACGGCUUACCAAGGCAACGAUGCGUAGCCGACCUGAGAGGGUGAUCGGCCACACUGGAACUGAGACACGGUCCAGACUCCUACGGGAGGCAGCAGUAGGGAAUCUUCCGCAAUGGGCGAAAGCCUGACGGAGCAACGCCGCGUGAGUGAUGAAGGUCUUCGGAUCGUAAAACUCUGUUAUUAGGGAAGAACAAAUGUGUAAGUAACUAUGCACGUCUUGACGGUACCUAAUCAGAAAGCCACGGCUAACUACGUG